GAUGAACGCUGGCGGCGUGCCUAAUACAUGCAAGUCGAGCGAACAGACGAGGAGCUUGCUCCUCUGACGUUAGCGGCGGACGGGUGAGUAACACGUGGAUAACCUACCUAUAAGAUUGGGAUAACUUCGGGAAACCGGAGCUAAUACCGGAUAAUAUAUUGAACCGCAUGGUUCAAUAGUGAAAGACGGUUUUGCUGUCACUUAUAGAUGGAUCCGCGCCGCAUUAGCUAGUUGGUAAGGUAACGGCUUACCAAGGCGACGAUGCGUAGCCGACCUGAGAGGGUGAUCGGCCACACUGGAACUGAGACACGGUCCAGACUCCUACGGGAGGCAGCAGUAGGGAAUCUGCCGCAAUGGGCGAAAGCCUGACGGAGCAACGCCGCGUGAGUGAUGAAGGUCUUCGGAUCGUAAAACUCUGUUAUUAGGGAAGAACAAAUGUGUAAGUAACUAUGCACGUCUUGACGGUACCUAAUCAGAAAGCCACGGCUAACUACGUG
rnacentral:rRNA from 1 species